rnacentral:rRNA from 1 species
CAGUCGAACGGUGAAGCCCAGCUUGCUGGGUGGAUCAGUGGCGAACGGGUGAGUAACACGUGAGCAAUCUGCCCUUGACUCUGGGAUAAGCGCUGGAAACGGCGUCUAAUACUGGAUAUGAGCUGCGACCGCAUGGUCAGUAGUUGGAAAGAAUUUCGGUCAAGGAUGAGCUCGCGGCCUAUCAGCUUGUUGGUGAGGUAAUGGCUCACCAAGGCGUCGACGGGUAGCCGGCCUGAGAGGGUGACCGGCCACACUGGGACUGAGACACGGCCCAGACUCCUACGGGAGGCAGCAGUGGGGAAUAUUGCACAAUGGGCGCAAGCCUGAUGCAGCAACGCCGCGUGAGGGACGACGGCCUUCGGGUUGUAAACCUCUUUUAGCAGGGAAGAAGCGAAAGUGACGGUACCUGCAGAAAAAGCACCGGCUAACUACGUGCCAGCAGCCGCGGUAAUACGUAGGGUGCAAGCGUUAUCCGGAAUUAUUGGGCGUAAAGAGCUCGUAGGCGGUUUGUCGCGUCUGCUGUGAAAUCUGGGGGCUCAACCCCCAGCCUGCAGUGGGUACGGGCAGACUAGAGUGCGGUAGGGGAGAUUGGAAUUCCUGGUGUAGCGGU